rnacentral:lncRNA from 1 species
AAUCAACCCAACAUGAAUUAAAUUCAAGAUAAAUUGAUUAAAAUAACCAUUUCAACAACAAUAUUUUUCAUAGAUAUGUUCAUCAUAAAAACAACAGAAAUUAAAAAGAAAGGGAACAGAAAGCAAAUCCAGUGUUUCUCUGCGGCUUGACUGUUGCUCCGUUCUUAGUCUCCGUUUUCUUCGCCGAGCAAGGCUUUUAUGAAUCCUUGAUUGCUGCCCAAGAUGGCUGAAGAACACCUCUUUCUCAAGAGAGGAAAUCGGCACAAGAGGAAGGGAAAAUGGGAUAGAGAAAUGGAAAGGAAACUUUGAGAGAAGUGAAGAGAGGAUGAGAAAUGUUGUGGAAUGAGGGAUGUUGAGGGAUGCUUUGAAAUAGGCAGCAUAGGGUGGCUUUUAUAGCUAAAUAGGGCUGCUAAAAAUAGAAAAUUCAGCAGCCAAGAGAGCCCUCCCAUGGCCGGCCACACACAUGGCAAGGUUGAAGCUUUCACCCUUGCUAAAAAUAGGCUGGGGCAAAUCUACAAAGCCUAAAAUAAAGGUGGGGUUUGAAUGUAAUUUGGAGGUUUUUCAAAAGCUUUUUUGCAAGCAUAUUUUAUCAGCUAAUUUGCUGAUUUGGGUCAGCCAAUGGACGGUUUUGGUCAGCCCAAUUAGUGGCUGGUUCGGCUCACUUCAUUCGGUUCAACCAGUGCGGUUCACUAGGUCCUUUCUUCAUAAUUAAUUAAAAUUAAUUCAUUUAACCUAAAUUAAAUAGGAAAUAAAUUAAAAUUAAUUUAAUUAUGAAUUAAUACACAUUUCUGGACCGUCUUGGGCUGGAAAUUAAUUGGCCUCGAUACUUCAAAUUGCUCUCAGUUUUGUUCUUCUCGCAGUGUUCACCGGACCCUUUUUCUCCAAUUGUGUAAUUCUGUCAAAAAUAACCAAAUUUAAUCAAAAUUAACUACAAAAUUAAUUAAAAUUCAUAAUGUUCAUAUUUUUAACAUAAUUUAAUUAUUUUAUAAUAUUUAAUUAUUUUUUUGACAAGAAUUUAACCGAAUUUGCAUGAAUUUAAGUAGAAUUGGGUAUGAAAAAGUAUAUAAAUUUUUGUGUUUCCAAACACGACUCUUCAUUCCUUUGAAAACUCGAUUGAUUUUUGACUUCCAAAAGCUCUUAGGUUAAAAAUUACAAAAGGAUGUCCAGAUAUUUAGUCCGACAAGAAAUCGAAACCCAGCACGAUUCCACGAAUUUCCCAAUAUCAAACAUUACUUUCGUUUUAGUGAAUUUUCAAAAAAAUAAUAUGUGAAAUAACAUAAAAACUAAAAAAAUGACAUAUAAUAUGCAGAACAAUAUGAAAACUAAGAGCCAAUAUAUUACAAAACAAUUUAAAAAUCAUAUGAAACAUAUACAAAGGAAUAACACAUGCUAGAAUUCGAAAUAACUUAUAUGUAUAUAAAACUAGUAAAAUAUAAAUGAUUAUUAGAAUAUAUAUUAUGUAAAAAAAAUUCAAAAUAAUAAUAUAUAGGAUAAUUUCAAAUAAAAAAAAUUGAUUUAACUAAUGAUAUAUUUGAAACCUGAAAACUUAAUAUAAAUAAUGUAUAUACAAAUAUGCUAAUUUGUGAAAGUGUUUAAUGUAAAUAAGAUAUACAUAAAUAAAUAGAUUAGAUACAUAAAUAAAUUUAAAAGACAAUAUAUAUAUACAUAAAGAUUUAAAAGAAAAUAUCUACAUAAAAUAAUAUAAAAUCAACAAUAUGUACCAAAAAAAUAAUGAACAACAAUUCAAAACUGAUGAUAUAGGAAACAUUUAGGUAUAUAUAAAUGUAAAAAAUAAUUUUGUGAUGAAACAAUAUAAAUGAUAUACAAAACAAUAUAUAUAUAUAUAUGUAUAUAUAAAUAAAUAAUGUACAUAAAAUACAAAUAGUUUAAUAUAAAUAAUAUAUACAAAAAUAAUAUAAUAUUUGAAGCAAAGAAUGUUCAUAAAAGAGAAUUUUGAAAUAAACAAGUUAUAUAAUAAAACAAAACGAAAAUAUACAAAAGGAGAUGAAACUAGAACAGUGAAAUCAAUAAAAUAAUUCAAAAUAAUAUACUAAGAUAAUCUGUCAAAAAAAAUGAAUGAUGAAUAAUUCAUAAAAAUACAACAAUAUGAACUAAGAAACUUAAUUGGAAUAAAAACAAGAUCAGAAGGAUAAUUCACAAAUAAAUCAGAUUGUUAAAAUAGAAUUUAGGACCAGACUAAAAUGCGCUCAAAUGAGCAGGGACUUGGAAUGAAAAUAUACCGAAUCUCAAAACGCAGUGCUCAAAUAUGGAUUAAAUUGUAACAACGCGCAAAUCUCAGGGAAAAUGUAAAAAAUGAAUAAAACACGAUUGAGGCCUAAUUUGAGAUCGGCGCAGGAGGGGAGGGACUACGUGCAAAUUGACCUUUCAAGGUGAAAAUGCGCGGAUCCGAGCCUCCAAACAGGUCAACGUGCGGAUCUUUGUUUCCAAACGAUGCUGUUUCACUUUGUUAACACCAGAUCAAAAGAAAGGAAAAGAAAACCCUAAAAUUAACACUCAUCCACUUAAAAGCAAAUCAAAAAUAAAAAAACCUAAAGCUUAUUCCUCUUUAUUCAUUCGGCCGAACUUAAGGCAUCUUUCAACUGUCGAUCUAUCCCCAUAUUCGGCAAAUGAACAUCGCAUGAAGGCAUAAUCUGGCCUUGUUCGACCACGAGUCCACUCAGAAGCUUCAAGAUUCUCGCUUAAGCUUCGAUUACGACGAAGCAAGCAAAGACAUGAAGGAGCCAGCAUUAAGGUAAGUCAUUUUCUCCUUAUUUUUCUGUGAAAAAUCUAUAUGUAGGAACAAAGAAAAAAAACUAAAUCAGAACACGAAAAAAUAAAUAUGAAAUCACCUUAGUUUUUCAUUGCUUUUUCUUUUGUAUCUCGCAUUUCGUAAUCUCCAUUUUUACAGAUUACAUUCGGUUUUAUAGCUGAAGAGAAGAAAAAAUAAGAAUAAAUCAAAAAUAUCCAAUUUCCUUGCUGUUAUUUCUGUUUCUCGUGUAUUCUGUUGCAGGUACGAACAGAGCCAGCUGGAGGUGGUGACGCACGUGGGAUGAGGCAUGAAGACGCAUGUGGGGCUGGUACGGAGGCUGCAGCGGUUCGGUGGAAGCUACUGGAAACCAGCUACAGUGCAAGGGAAAGGGACCUUAGAGUUCCAAAAUAUUCAAUUUGCUUAGGUUAUUUGGGCCAAUUUUGGAAUUGGGCCAUUGGGUCUAUAAAUUAAGUUUAGCUUGGGUAAUAAUUUGGGCUAAAAACUUGUAUUUGGGUCUGGUGAAAAUUGUAAUGAAUUAUUUUGGAUUUUUGGCUUUAAUUUAAUUUGGGACUUUUUUAUA